GUGUUGUAUGAAAGGAGAGACGGUUAGCACUCCCCUUGACAAGGAUGGAAUACACAUAUAUGGCUGAGGCACCCAGCUACUUGUAGCAACUCAACCACAUUUUUUC